rnacentral:rRNA from 1 species
UAUUUGAUGGUCUCUUUUACAUGGAUAACCAUGGUAAUUCUAUGGCUAAUACAUGCGCACAGGCCUCCUUCUUUGGAGGGGCCGUGUUUAUUAGAUACAAAACCAACCCACUUUGUGGAGCCUUGGUGAUUCAUAGUAACCGAACGGAUCGCAUUUGGCUUUAGCCGGCGAUAGAUCAUUCAAGUUUCUGACCUAUCAGCUUUCGACGGUAGGGUAUUGGCCUACCGUGGCAUUGACGGGUAACGGGGAAUUAGGGUUCGAUUCCGGAGAGGGAGCCUGAGAAACGGCACCCACAUCUAAGG